rnacentral:rRNA from 1 species
GACGAACGCUGGCGGCGUGCUUAACACAUGCAAGUCGAACGGAAAGGCCUUUUCGGAGGUACUCGAGUGGCGAACGGGUGAGUAACACGUGGGUGAUCUGCCCUGCACUCUGGGAUAAGCCUGGGAAACUGGGUCUAAUACCGGAUAGGACCGCACUUUAGUGUGUGUGGUGGAAAGUUUUUUCGGUGUAGGAUGAGCCCGCGGCCUAUCAGCUUGUUGGUGGGGUAAUGGCCUACCAAGGCGGCGACGGGUAGCCGGACUGAGAGGUUGGUCGGCCACAUUGGGGCUGAGAUACGGCCCAGACUCCUGCGGGAGGCAGCAGUGGGGAAUAUUGCACAAUGGGCGCAAGCCUGAUGCAGCGACGCCGCGUGGGGGAUGACGGCCUUCGGGUUGUAAACUCCUUUCGCCAGGGACGAAGCGUUUUGUGACGGUACCUGGAGAAGAAGCACCGGCUAACUACGUG